rnacentral:piRNA from 1 species
UGGAAAAGGCUGGACUUUAGAAGCAUUGC